UCAAUCACCAGCCUCCUCCCCAUCUCAACUCCCAUGGCUUCUUCUCCCCGCCGACAACCGAACCACCACCAAUCACCGCCUCUUCUUCAACCUCGCCGACAACAGAACCUACAAUUUCCCUCUCGUCGAAUCUCGCCGCACUCCUCACUCCCAAAGACAUCGAAACCCUAACCUUGACCAUUCCUCUGGCGCGCUCCUCGGUCCCUCUCCCUCCGCUGCCAUUGACGGAGAUCGGCGCGCAUGUGCUCGGAAAAGCCAAGGUUCUUGAUUCCAAUCACGUUGCUGUUAUUUUCCCACAUGGUAGUGAUAUACUCCUCUGUAGGCUCUUAAAAACAUUGCGGGUAUUCCAUUGGUUGAAGGGCUUAGUGUUUGUGAUUACCUCGUUGAGUCUCCGCAGGGGGAGUUGUUGUUGGUGUGGAGGAAAGGUGAGAGGAAGAUAUUUGAAUUGUUUCGGUUGGAUGCGAGUGGACGGAAAAAAGUUUGGAUUGAGAUGACUAAUAUAGGGGACAAUGUGGUGUUUGUGGAUGGUAUUCAAGCUAUGUUUUUUUGUGCUGGAGAUUUGGAGGGCUGUAGAGGGAAUUGCAUUUAUUUUGUGGAUGGUUAACCCUGGUGGUUUACAAAAUAAAGGGCUUAAGGUCUUUGACAUGGAUAAUGGUCGGUUUGAAGAUGACCCGUUAUUUUCCUUUUUUUUUCCUCGAGGGCAUUGGGGAAAGGCUUUGUGGGUAGUUCCAAGUCUUGGUUAGAGAUUUUUGCUGAAGCUCCUUGAGGUCGUCCCUUCAAUUUGAAACGGAAUCCGGAGUUGUUCGUUUUUCUUCAUCAGAUAAUUUAAGAAACCAAGAAGACUCAUGGUGGAGAUAAGAGAAAGAUCGUUGGACAUCUUCAUUUUGUAUGGAAAAAAUGUGUACUUGGUCUUAGUUUAGUUUGUAAAUAAGAUUUAUACGGUUAAUAUGUAAUUAAGAUUUAUAGAACGAUGUGAAUGCUCAAUUUGUGGAGCAAAAUUUAGGGUUGGGUGGUCUAAAGGUCAAUUUCAUGAAGAUUCACUGGAGAAAGUAUUGCUAUUUGCAGACGGUGAUAAGAUUCAAUCGACAAACAAAGAAACUGAAUGAGGAAGAAGACUGAGAUGUUAUGCUCGAA